GAGUUUGAUCAUGGCUCAGGAUGAACGCUGACAGAAUGCUUAACACAUGCAAGUCGACUCGAGUCUUCGGACUUGGGUGGCGCACGGGUGAGUAACGCGUAAAGAACUUGCCUCUUAGACCGGGACAACAUCUGGAAACGGAUGCUAAUACCGGAUAUUAUGGUUUUUUCGCAUGGAGGAAUCAUGAAAGCUGGAUGCGCUAAGAGAGAGCUUUGCGUCCCAUUAGCUGGUUGGUGAGGUAACGGCCCACCAAGGCAAUGAUGGGUAGCCGGCCUGAGAGGGUGAACGGCCACAAGGGGACUGAGACACGGCCCUUACUCCUACGGGAGGCAGCAGUGGGGAAUAUUGGACAAUGGACCACAAGUCUGAUCCAGCAAUUCUGUGUGCACGAUGACGUUUUUCGGAAUGUAAAGUGCUUUCAGUCGGGAAGAGGUC
rnacentral:rRNA from 1 species